rnacentral:rRNA from 1 species
UACAGAGGUCUCAAGCGUUGUUCGGAUUCAUUGGGCGUAAAGGGUGCGUAGGCGGCGCGGUAAGUCGGGUGUGAAAUCCUCGGAGCUUAACUUCGAAACUGCAUUCGAUACUGCCGUGCUUGAGGACUGGAGAGGAGACUGGAAUUUACGGUGUAGCGGUGAAAUGCGUAGAUAUCGUAAGGAAGACCAGUGGCGAAGGCGGGUCUCUGGACAGUUCCUGACGCCGGAGGCACGAAGGCCCAGGGGAGCAAACGGG